rnacentral:rRNA from 1 species
GACGAACGCUGGCGGCGUGCUUAACACAUGCAAGUCGAACGGAAAGGCCCUGCUUUUGUGGGGUGCUCGAGUGGCGAACGGGUGAGUAACACGUGAGUAACCUGCCCUUGACUUUGGGAUAACUUCAGGAAACUGGGGCUAAUACCGGAUAGGAGCUCCUGCUGCAUGGUGGGGGUUGGAAAGUUUCGGCGGUUGGGGAUGGACUCGCGGCUUAUCAGCUUGUUGGUGGGGUAGUGGCUUACCAAGGCUUUGCCGGGUAGCCGGCCUGAGAGGGGGAACGGCCACAUUGGGACUGAGAUACGGCCCAGACUCCUACGGGAGGCAGCAGUGGGGAAUAUUGCACAAUGGGCGGAAGCCUGAGGCAGCAACGCCGCGUGCGGGAUGACGGCCUUCGGGUUGUAAACCGCUUUCGCCUGUGACGAAGCGUGAGUGACGGUAAUGGGUAAAGAAGCACCGGCUAACUACGUG